UACGUAGGGGGCAAGCGUUGUCCGGAAUCAUUGGGCGUAAAGAGCGUGUAGGCGGCCCGGUAAGUCCGCUGUGAAAGUCAAGGGCUCAACCCUUGAAAGCCGGUUGAUACUGUCGGGCUAGAGUCCGGAAGAGGCGAGUGGAAUUCCCGGUGUAGCGGUGAAAUGCGCAGAUAUCGGGAGGAACACCAAUGGCGAAGGCAGCUCGCUGGGACGGUACUGACGCUGAGACGCGAAAGCGUGGGGAGCAAACGGG
rnacentral:rRNA from 1 species